rnacentral:tRNA from 1 species
GGGGUUGUGGCUUAGCGGUAGAGCACUUGCCUAGCAUGUGCAAGGCCUUGGGUUUGAUCCCCAACACCACA